CAAGCCAUUCAUCAGGUGGUUUUGACCAUGUCAUGAAAGUAAAUCUAGUCCAUUCAGCAGGUGGGAUAUAAUCUUAGAAGCAGUUGGAUGGGUAAAGACACUUCAACCGAGUUUUUUCAGCCAUAUAUUUGUUUCAUAAACUGUGGCCCACCUGAUGAGUGGACCAACCUGAUUCUUGGGGAAUAACAUCUAGGUAGAGGCUCCACUCUAAUGAAUAAAUUGGAUCUCAUAGAAAAUUUGCCACGCUGGCAGAUGUCUGGCAUGUACAUGAGUUGCCUUGUACAUGCCUGUGCUGACCAAAACCUAUAGUACCGAAAGGCAAGAAAGAAAAAAGAUAAGGAUCUUUAGCUUGCUCAUGUGGCCAAAUUUGGACAUUCUACUACUCAUGUGGCCAAAUCAUGUGAAUUUUAAAGUAUUUAGAGCACGAUUUUACACCAUUCCCUAUGUUGCAGCCCAUGUAAAUCUUAGGAGCAGAUCCAUCACUAAAUCCCAUCUACAUCAUCCCAAGUCCAACCACAUAUCAUAAUCCAACUUGGUAGUAGACCUUCCGCUUAUUCAUAUAGAUCAGCUAAGAUUAGGAUGAAGAAUCUGAUUCAUAUAGAUCUCCCUUUGAAUCAUCAUUUACCACGAAAAUUCUAGUUGAGUGCAGAAAACAUAGCUAGCUAUUCAAAUAAAUGUGUCUCUUGAUUUUCACUUAAACUGCAAAUCAUUUUUUUCAAGUGCCUGGGAUCAUGAUCACCUAUCAAUGCAAUAUAAGCAUAUAUGUGUAUGCAUGCAGAUGUGCAGGGACUAAACAACAAAAUAAGUUAGAUCGAGAUUUAGGCAAAAAAAAUAAAAUAAAAAAUACAAACACAUAUGAAUUUGCAUUUGGCCCCUUUUUUUUUUUUUUUUUUCCUUUUAUACUAAACCUCCUAAUAGAGUAGUAAACCACACUGUGUGACUGUGUGAUUCUAAUCCUUAUGAAUAUUAUUUGGUAGUGAUAGUUGCCAACUUCUGUUAGGCGUUUCUAACUUUUCCCAUUUCCACUUGUUAUGAAGGACACUGAUUAUGUGGAGGAACUAAAGGAGGCUUUCAAGGUCUUUGACAAGGAUCAAAAUGGUUACAUUUCUACUAUAGAGAAUUGAGGCCUUGCAUUGGAUUACGACACUUUUGGCAAGACAUCAGGCUAAGGCAAUCAUUGAUGAUUUCUUGUUCAUUUUUGACAUCAGUUCAUGCAUAUGUACUUACUGUACAUUGAUCACUCGUAUAGGUUUCCUGAAGUAAUAUCAAAUGCUGUGUUCACUGCCUCUGUUGUUGAAAAUAUUGCUGCUGAUGGCUUGCUAUAAGAGGCAUGUGCAUGUUAGCUUUCCUUUUCAGAAGAAUGGUAGCAGAUUUUUGAAGUGUGUGGAAUAGUUGUUGGGGUAUGAAGGGUUUAGUUGAAUAGUUGUUGUUGUAUAGAACAGUUGGUGAAGGGUUUUGCAGAUUUUCAGAGAGAGAUUUGAAUUCAGCUUUGUUCUUUUGCUCUUUUUUCUUGAAUUUGAGGUUGGGAGUUUGGAAUUUCAGGUCCUCGGGGAGAGCAAUGGAUUUCGAUGUGAUCUUUAGUCUUUCUUCAUGAACUGGAAGAUUUUAUGAGCAGUCAAUGCAAGUAUGCAGCAGAGAAGAAGAUACUGCUGCAGAAAAGGCAGAAAGCAAUGUGGAAAUAGAAGGCCGAAAGCCAAAGGAGAAUCCAUCUCGGUUUCAUCGAAGAUGAUGAGGCAAAUUCUGAAUAUAGUUUGGUAUAAGCUUGUCAAGAACUCGAAUUCAUAUGCAAGCUUGUUGGGUUUGAGCUGGGCUCUUGUAUCUUGCAGCUGAUUUUCACAGGUCUUGAAUUUCAAAUUUCUUUCAAUCUCUAUCUCUUGAAUCUGAUUUUCUUCUAACAUCUUUCUUACUGUAGAUGGGGUGUUAAGAAGCCUCAAAUCAUGGAAAAUUCUGUCACGAUCUUGUCGAAUGCAGGUCUUGGGAUGGCCAUGUUCAGUCUCGGACUGUUCAUGGCCUUGUAGCCAAGAAUCAUAGCCUGUGGGACUAAACUCGCUGCAUAUGGAUUGGUUGCGAGGUUCCUCACUGGCCCAACUGUCAUGGCGAUCGCAUCUGUUGGGGUUGGCCUCAGAGGCACAAUCCUCAGAGUGUUCAUUGUUCAAGUGGGUUCAUUGCAUUUUCAGCUCAAUCUUUAAAACACACAAACACAUUUUCAGCCUCUUACGUAUAAUGUCAUAACAUGCAAUUUCUUCCAUUUUGUAUGAUGAAAUUGAUUUUCAGCCAUGUGCAGUAAGCUUUCGGAUCAAAGCGAAGCUAAGAAUAGGGUGUUAGUUGAUGGCAAAUUGAUAACCAAUAGAGGCACAUCCAUGGAGUUUUCACUUGGGAUUGUUGAGAAGCUAUUUGGCUGCGAGAAGGCAUUGGAUCUUGCUGUUAAUGAGUACUUUAAAUA